GAUGAACGCUGGCGGCGUGCCUAAUACAUGCAAGUCGAGCGAACAGACGAGGAGCUUGCUCCUCUGACGUUAGCGGCGGACGGGUGAGUAACACGUGGAUAACCUACCUAUAAGACUGGGAUAACUUCGGGAAACCGGAGCUAAUACCGGAUAAUAUAUUGAACCGCAUGGUUCAAUAGUGAAAGACGGCUUUGCUGUCACUUAUAGAUGGAUCCGCGCCGCAUUAGCUAGUUGGUAAGGUAACGGCUUACCAAGGCAACGAUGCGUAGCCGACCUGAGAGGUUGAUCGGCCACACUGGAACUGAGACACGGUCCAGACUCCUACGGGAGGCAGCAGUAGGGAAUCUUCCGCAAUGGGCGAAAGCCUGACGGAGCAACGCCGCGUGAGUGAUGAAGGUCUUCGGAUCGUAAAACUCUGUUAUUAGGGAAGAACAAAUGUGUAAGUAACUAUGCACGUCUUGACGGUACCUAAUCAGAAAGCCACGGCUAACUACGUG
rnacentral:rRNA from 1 species